rnacentral:rRNA from 1 species
UGGGGAAUAUUGCACAAUGGGGGAAACCCUGAUGCAGCGACGCCGCGUGAGUGAAGAAGUAAUUCGUUAUGUAAAGCUCUAUCAGCAGGGAAGAAAAUGACGGUACCUGACUAAGAAGCCCCGGCUAACUACGUGCCAGCAGCCGCGGUAAUACGUAGGGGGCAAGCGUUAUCCGGAUUUACUGGGUGUAAAGGGAGCGUAGACGGCCGUGCAAGUCUGAUGUGAAAGGCUGGGGCUCAACCCCGGGACUGCAUUGGAAACUGUAUGGCUGGAGUGCCGGAGAGGUAAGCGGAAUUCCUAGUGUAGCGGUGAAAUGCGUAGAUAUUAGGAGGAACACCAGUGGCGAAGGCGGCUUACUGGACGGUAACUGACGUUGAGGCUCGAAAGCGUGGGGAGCAAACA